CUGGGCUACAGGGCAGUGGUCCCCGCCGAGAGAAGGCCAUGUGAGCAGGAUGAAUUUAAACCCGGUCUAGGACACCACCCAGCGCUCUGGGAAAAGCUGGGAAGUGAAAGGUCGCAACUGUGAGCCAUGGGCUGAGCCAGGACUGGCGACCUCCGGAGGAGACGGUUUGGAUCUGGAGCCAGAAACAAGGCUUAAUAACUCAGAA